rnacentral:rRNA from 1 species
GGUUUUCCUCUUCGGAGGCACCUGCACAGGUGCUGCAUGGCUGUCGUCAGCUCGUGUCGUGAGAUGUUGGGUUAAGUCCCGCAACGAGCGCAACCUUGUCUUUAGUUGCCAUCAUUAAGUUGGGCACUCUAAAGAGACUGCCGGUGUCAAACCGGAGGAAGGUGGGGAUGACGUCAAGUCCUCAUGGCCUUUAUGACCAGGGCUACACACGUACUACAAUGGCAGGUACAAAGGGCAGCCACUUAGCGAUAAGGAGCGAAUCCCGUAAAACCUGUCUCAGUCCGGAUUGGAGUCUGCAACUCGACUCCAUGAAGUUGGAAUCGCUAGUAAUCGCAGAUCAGCACGCUGCGGUGAAUACGUUCCCGGGCCUU